AGGGGAUACCCGGGGAAACUGGGGAUAUACCUAUAGACUAUGGAUGCUGGAAUGCUUCGUAGCCCAAAGGUCCGCCGCCUGUAGGAUGGGUCUGCGGCCGAUUAGGUUGUUGUUGGGGUAACGGCCCAACAAGCCUGUAAUCGGUACGGGUUGUGGGAGCAAGAGCCCGGAGAUGGAUUCUGAGACACGAAUCCAGGCCCUACGGGGCGCAGCAGGCGCGAAAACUUUACAAUGCGGGAAACCGUGAUAAGGGAACUCUGAGUGCCCGUAAAAUCGGGCUGUCCAUCAGUUUAAAUAACUGGUGAAGAAAGGGCCGGGCAAGACCGGUGCCAGCCGCCGCGGUAAUACCGGCGGCUCGAGUGGUGGCCACUAUUACCGGGCUUAAAGCGUUCGUAGCUAGUUUGUUAAGUCUCUGGGGAAAUCUUCCGGCUUAACCGGAAGUCGUCUCAGGGAUACUGGCAGACUAGGGACCGGAAGAGGUGCGAGGUACUCCAGGGGUAGGAGUGAAAUCCUGUAAUCCUUGGGGGACCACCUGUGGCGAAGGCGUCUCACCAGAACGGCUCCGACAGUGAGGGACGAAAGCUGGGGGAGCAAACCGGAUUAGAUACCCGGGUAGUCCCAGCCGUAAACGAUGUGCAUUAGGUGUAUCGGUGACCACGAGUCACCGAGGUGCCGAAGAGAAAUCGUGAAAUGCACCGCCUGGGAAGUACGGUCGCAAGGCUGAAACUUAAAGGAAUUGGCGGGGGAGCACCACAACAGGUGGAGCCUGCGGUUUAAUCGGACUCAACGCCGGGAAACUCACCAGAUAAGACAGCUGAAUGAUAGUCGGGCUGAAGACUCUACUUGACUAGCUGAGAGGAGGUGCAUGGCCGUCGUCAGUUCGUACUGUGAAGCAUCCUGUUAGGUCAGGCAACGAGCGAGACCCACGCCAACAGUUGCUAGCUCGUCCUCCGGGAUGGAGAGGACACUGUUGGGACCGCCUCUGCUAAAGAGGAGGAAGGAGUGGGCAACGGUAGGUCAGCAUGCCCCGAAUUAUCUGGGCUACACGCGGGCUACAAUGGGUGGGACAAUGGGUAUCGACACCGAAAGGUGAAGGCAAUCUCCUAAACCCAUCCUUAGUUCGGAUUGUGGGCUGCAACUUCAGCCCCACAUGAAAGCUUGAAAUUCUUGUUAAUU
rnacentral:rRNA from 1 species